GUCACUAUUUUUUUGUAUUCAGGAGGUAAGCCGAACCAGACAACGGAGCCAGUGAAAGGAUGCCCCAUCGUUACAGGAAGCUUCAAUUUUUCGCCGCGGAAUACGUCUCUGCUAGGACGAUAUUGCGCAUUAGGCAACGGCGACAAAAUCAACGAUCAGGAAGAAACGGGCCCUCGCUGGAUUGGAUCGCUCACCUUAAAUGGCACUUGCCAUGUUUGCUGCGCUCGUGGAGGUGCCUCUACAAACACAACCUAUUCCGUGAUUCAAAAGCCUCCAAAAAAUACAUGCAAGAAAAGAAAUCCGCGAAGAAAAAUUAGACCAAGGACGAAAGGAACUGGAUAUUGAAGGCCAUGGCGCAAGACAGCAGACUAGGUCAACUGUGGGAAGAACGUUUCUUUCUGACAGUGCUUUGAAAUAAACGGGUGUUGUAGAAAAACGAAACAA
rnacentral:lncRNA from 1 species